UGGGGAAUUUUGGACAAUGGGCGAAAGCCUGAUCCAGCCGUGCCGCGUGAGUGAAGAAGGCCUUCGGGUUGUAAAGCUCUUUCGGUGGGGAAGAAAUUGCACGGGUUAAUAGCCUGUGUAGAUGACGGUACCUGGAGAAGAAGCACCGGCUAACUACGUGCCAGCAGCCGCGGUAAUACGUAGGGUGCGAGCGUUAAUCGGAAUUACUGGGCGUAAAGCGUGCGCAGGCGGUUUGGUAAGUCAGAUGUGAAAUCCCCGGGCUCAACCUGGGAACUGCAUUUGAGACUGCCAAGCUGGAGUUUGGCAGAGGGGGGUGGAAUUCCACGUGUAGCAGUGAAAUGCGUAGAGAUGUGGAGGAACACCGAUGGCGAAGGCAGCCCCCUGGGCCAAUACUGACGCUCAUGCACGAAAGCGUGGGGAGCAAACAGG
rnacentral:rRNA from 1 species